UAUGAUAAUGUGAUAUUAGGCUUAGGCUCAAAUCGGCCAGAUGCAAGUAAUGGGAUCUUGAUUUGAAGGUAAAUUCUAAGGAACAAUCAAUGCAUACAAAUGAAUUUUAUGCACAUGUCAUACCCUACUGCAUUUUAUAUUACAUAUUAAACUAUGAAUCUACCAUAUGUUUACAAAUAUUGAAUGUGUCAUACAAUUUAUGUAUGACAUAAUUAUAAUGGUCAUACUUCAUACCAUAUAUAUGUUUUGUGCUGUAAAUAAAUGUUUUAAAAAAAAUUAUAUUUUAUUAUUAUAAUUAUCAAUUUUUAAACGAAUUUCAUUUGGUUUUUAAUAGUUGGAAGAUUAUAUUUUUUUUAUUAAGAUAUUAAAAUUAUAGAUAAGACCUGAUAUUUUAUCUUCUGUACUAAAUAUAAUUGUAACAUGUUUUAUAUAUUCAACUACAAAUAUGUCUUGUGGGUCUAGGUUGGCCCAAUUAGCCCAGCGGACUAUAACGGGAUGAAGCCCAGAGUCUUUGGGCCCUGAAUAGGAGCUCAUUUUCAAAAACUUCAUGGGCUUUUGAAGAGCAGCUGGGCCCAAAACAUAUACUUUUGUCAUUGAAUUGCAUCGUAAUAUGUUUAUACUAUAUAUUAAACUACAAAUAUGUCAUGUGGGUCUAGGUUGGCCCAAUUAGCCCAGCGAACUAUAACGGGAUGAAGCCCACGGUCUUUGGGCCCUGAAUAGGGGCUCAUUUUCGAAAGCUUCAUAGGCUUUUGAAGAGUAGCUGGGCCCAAGACAUAUGCUUUUGUCAUUAAAUUGCAUUGGAACCUUUUUUUUUUUUCUUACUUAGAAAAUAAUAAUAAUUAUAUAUUCGGUUUUUCCCUUGUUUAAUUUGUGAAGAUUAGAAAAUAAUUAUAAAAAAUAAAAAAUAUCUUCACUUUAAAAAAUGAUACUCGACUGUGGCCCAAUUAAUAAGUUGACUUAUUCACGACCCUCCAAUUUUUCUAAUUAAAUGACCAAAUUUAGAAAAUAGUAUAAAAUGGGACUUACAUAUUACCCAAAUUAGAAUAAAAUAGUGUUGUUUAGAGAUAAAAAAAAAUAUAUUCACAUGUAACACAACCCAAAUAAUAAAAUUUGUAUUUGAUUAAAAAUGAUAAAAUAAUCUUGAUUUGAAAAAAUUAACUUGCAUUUUUUUUUAUUUAAGAAUGAAAUGCAAUAUUUUCCCUUUUUAAUCCUCCAUCAAUAUUUUUUGCACCUAUUUUUAUAAAACAAUAAAGGAUAUUUAUGGGAAAUUAAAUUACACUUACCAUAAAAGGUAGGUUAAGCAGAUGCUUGAUAUGAAUAAAAAAAAAAGAGUUAUUUUUAAUAAUGUUUAUAUAAUAAAAAUGUAAUUUUUGAAAGAAUCAUCUUGUGAAUCAUAUUAUUUAGGAAACUCUUUUAAUUAGCUUAAAUGAGAUCUUAGUUAAUGGCUCUUACUUUUUGAUAAUUUCAUCAUCAAUUUCGUAUCCUAUGAUAUUUUUUAAAAUAGAUUUAUCUUAAAUAGUAAUUAAAGAUGGGAAAAGUGUGGACAAAGUACAUUUAUCAAAUAAUUAAGUUUUUGAUCACUCAAUUUUUCUAUUGAGCUGAAAAUAUCCUUAAAAAAAAGAAGCGUGAUGUAGCUAACUUUAGGUUGAAGCCAAAUUUGGGUUGAUGCAAAUUAACUUAGAGUAGUUAGAAAAAACUCCAAUGCAAAUAUGUUAGUAUAAGAACACAAAGAUAAAGUAAUAUAUACAUAAAAAUAUAUGAAGUUUUAAUGUGGUUCGCAAUUAUAUCUACAUCUAUGGAUGAUAAAGAUUAUUCCACUAUAGUAUAGAAAAUAUUAUAAAUUAAAGAUAUCAGAUACAAUUAUAGGGUUUCGAAACAUCCCAUUGUUUCCCCUUCUUGUAUCUAUACCCUAAAACACCAACCAUCUUGAUCGACAAGGUUCAUUAUUCUUCACAUCUCUAUCUAUCACAAGGUCAUCUUAUCUCAUAACAACCCCACCCUUCCAACUUAGAAUAUUUAUAAAGUUAUUUCUAAUAAAUUUAUUAAGAAAUAUAAAAUAUUACAAUGACAUACAAAUAUAAGAAAUAUAUUUUAUACAAUAUUUUUUUUCGAAGGAAUAUAUACCAAUUAAAAAUUUGAGACACUUUUCAACAAUCUAUACCUUUGAUUAAAUUUCAUUAAGUCAAUAACUAUAUAAUACAUGCUUUCAAGAAACUUAUCUAAACCAAAUCCUUACUUCACACCAUGAUUUCUUUGCACAUCAUGCUCUCUUCAGGUAUUACCAUUAGUUUCAUGCACUAUGGUACUCUAGGGUGUCAUGAUCCUCUUAUGUGAUAUUCAUUUAAACCAUUUAGAUACUUCAUAGUUUCUAUUUUUUCAAGAUGUAACAAGUGUAUAGAAAAGUUAUUUUGAAUAAUGAAACUAUAUUCUUGUAUUACAUUAUGGUAUGAGAACAAUUAACUUUAUAUUCAACAAAAAAUUAUUUUUGAAUCCUAUUAUGUUCCAUUUUUUUUUUCAUUGACUCUUCUAGAAAUUUUUUAUGAAGACUCUAAUGUACUAUCGUGCAUGAUCGUCUUGUACACUAUAAUUCUCUCAUUUCUAGACCAUAACUUCAUUGCUUGAACUUCUCAAACAACAUCAUUUUUAUGUUUCAAGAUAUAUAUUUAGGUUUUUUUAAAGUAAUUAUUAAUAAAGGUCAACAUAUAUCUUUCACCAUCAUAUAAUGUAACUCGUAAGAGUCGGAUGAAUGUAAUCCAAAAAUACCUUUUGUUUAAUAAAUGACUACACUGAAUUUAAUACCACGUUAUUUCCUGAACAUAUAAUAGUCACAAAAAUUCAAUUCUCUUGCUUUCUAUUCACCAAGUAAAUUCCAUUUUCUCAAAAUCAUCAAUCAUCUCUAACUCCUUUGUCCAAGUAUAUGGUUCUUUAUAAAAUGAACAUAUACUAAAUAAGAAUUUAAGAGCUCUUCAAUGAAAACCUCAUUUUGCUAAUUAAAAAUAUUAAGAGUUGGUAAUGCAACUCCUAUACAAAAUAAUUCAAAAAAUAAAGCAACCGAUGAAAGAAAGAAAUUGAGGAGGUUUUGAAAACCAAAGCUACAUGGAGCCUAGGCCAAUGAGGAGAAUUUCAAGGCUCAUGAGUUACUAGAUCUAGCCUUAUCAUUAGAACUAGAUCUUAAUGUGAAAAUUCAAAGGCCAAACUUGUGAGCCACCAAAAUUAACCUAGGUUUCUAAACACUAUCAAAGAUGGCUUAGGCCAAUGAUAGAAUAAAAUAGCGGGAUUGAACUUGAUCCUUUCACCCCAUGUACAAAGAAAGAGCAAACUUUUCAUUAGGCUAAAUACCACAAUCUCCCUACUUCUUGGCCUCUGAAAUAAUUCUUUAAUUUAUUUUUGCCCCUAGGCCCAAUGAAAUGCUUGCAUUCUAAGCCUUCUUAACACAACUUUUGAAAUGAUCAUCAUUGAUUUUUAGACAUGGGGUUUUCAAAGCCAAAAAACAUAUUGAAGAAAAUAUAGGUAAAGCCCCUUUUGAUAAUUAAAUCUAGUCGAAGUAGGAGAGCCAAAACCUAAGCAUCUAAAGAAGGAUUUUGUGGUGGCCGGUGGAAUAGGUCAAUAGAGUGGUCGGUUAGCAAACUUUUAGAGUGGCCUCUUUCCCUUCUCCUUAGGAUUGUUAGGUUAUGUUGAGUCAAUCAAUUGAGGGGUUCACUAUUGGACUGUGGGAUUCCUAAUGGUUACCUUAACAAUUUUUAUUACAUAUAGUAACUAGUGAAUAGGUUGACUGAGCUGUCAACCGAUUCCUCCAAAUAAGGUAUUAAAAGAAUUUUUUUUUAAUUUUUAUAUAAGAUGUUCAAUUUUUAUAUAAAAAAUUUUAAUUUUAAAAAUAAAAAAAUAGAAAAUAUAUUCAAAUGUACACUUAAUUUAUGUUUGAGCUCCUACAUGCAUGCUUACAAACAAAAUCUACAUAACAAAUGGAAGGGACCCAAGCUAGGUUAUAUAUAUAUAUGAUCCAAUUAAUAAUCCAAACUUCCUUUGUCCAAGAAAAAUUCCUACAAAUUUGGAAUGCACUAAUGUCACGACAAAAGAAAAGGAAAAAGAAAAAAGAAAAGGUGUUCAUGAAAGAAAACCUAAUCCACUAAAAUUUUCAAAUCCCUUAUGAUUUCCAUGUCUGAACUUUGAACCAUAUCGUAGUGGGAAAAUCAAUAAUAAAUGAUAUGCUACAAAGGCACCUGAAAAGUGUAAAAGAGCAUUAGUUUGUCCAUGUAAAAUAAUAAUAAUAAUAAUAAAAUAAAAUAAAAUUCUUGGAGCCACAUAUUCCAUUGAUACAUGCAUAGGGUAUGUUCACAUAUGAAGGCAUCCUAGUUGUUUUACACUUGGGAGCAAGAACAUUCAUGAUGAGAAAACUAGUCUUGAGGAUAUAGUUAAUGUCCAUUACUAGAACAUGAGAAAAUGUGCAUGUGUUGUUGUAGUUAGUGUGAACCAAGAAAUAAGAACCCUAGAAAAGUGAGAGAAAAAGUGGGAAAGUGAAGAGAGAAAAGGAAUGUAUCAGUGAUCACCUUACCCACUUAGAGGACCUCAGUGGAGACACCUCAGUUUCCAAUAGGAGAUGUGUCAAUUUAUAGGGUCAACUUGAGCUGUUCUUUUGUUUGCCACCAGUCAUAUAAACCCUAGCUACCUUACCUUGCAUUCUAACAAACCAUUGGGGCCAUGGAGUUUUCCUUUGGUUUCUCCUCAACCUUGCAAAUUUCAAAUGAAAGUGAAAAGCGAUUCCCAUGUUGUCCACUUCUAAGUGAACUAAAUACUAAAGUUAUAGAAAUAACUAAAAAUUAGAAGAUGAGACACCUACUGCUUGUUUGGUAAUUAUUUUUUAAAACAAUUUUUUUUGUUUUUUCAAAAUAAGAAUAUAGGAAAACACUUCCUCUAACUAAAAAACAAAAAGUAGGAUGUUUCAAAAUCAUAUUUUUUUAGUUGUUUUUAGUUAUUUCUAUUUGUGUUUUGAAUAUUAUUUUUAAAAAUAAUUAUACAAAUAUGAAAAAUGAUUAAAAAUAAAGUACUACCUUUAAAAUUUACUUUAAAACAUAAAAAAAAAAAAGUUAAAAACAUUUUGAUCAUAUUUAGUUGGUUGAAUAUAACAUGAGAUAUGAUAAGAGAUGAGAUAUUAUAUCAGGAGAAUUCUCAUUAAGGGUGACCAAAAAGGGUCACCAUGUUUGCAAAUUCCUAUAAAGUCUUUUCAAAAGUUGACAAUUUUAGAAUUCCAAUGAUAUCAUUUUUUAUCUUUUGCCUUUUAUUCCUAUUUAAUUUUACCUUUUUAUUGUUUUUCUUUUAUACUUCUUUACACAUUAUUAUUAUUAUUAUUAUUAUUAUUAUUAAUUAUUAAUAUUAUUAUUUAUAAUAUCAAUAUUUUGAAUUAUUCAUGUUAUUUAUUAAUAUAAUUCAUAUUAAUAUUAUCUAUUUUUAUGAUUAUUAUUCAUAUUUUUAAUAUUAUAUUGAGAAUAAUAUAAUUAUAUUUUUAUUAUUACAACUAAAAAACCCUAAAAGAUAAUUUUUAUUUUUUUUAAUUCUUAAGGCAUGUAAGCUUUAUUAAAAAAUUAUUAUUAUUAUUAUUUUUGUUUUUAUGCUACAUUAGGACUAAUUGAAUUAUUAUAAUUAUUAUUAUUAUUAUCAUGAACACCUCAUUACUAUUAUUAUUUAUGAUAUUAGUUUUAUAUUAUUAAUUUUAUUAUUAAUAUUAUUAAUACAACUAAUUUUAUAACCAAAUUAUAGGUACUAAAAAAAUACAUUGAUUUUUCGAUAUUAAUAUUUUAAAUAUGUAAUACAUUAAGACAUAACUUAAUUUAAUUUUUAAUUUUUCUAAAACAAACACUUGUGAAUAGCAGCCUUAUAUUCCUUAAAAUUCUCUUUACUAUAAUUAGCCUUAGAAGACAUUUUUUUUUUAAAGUUUAUAAUUUUCAUUAUAAAAAUGAUUGAAAUUAAUAGUUAUAUUGCAAACUUAAACAUUUCAAAAUUUAUGAAAUCUAUAUAAUGAAAAAUAUAAUAACUUUAUAUUUUUAAUUAUUAAAAUGAAUUGAUAAUUUGUAAAAUUAUUAUGUUAUAUUAUUAUUAUUAUUAUGGAUAAGUUAUUUAUAAUAUCUUUAAAAUAAUAAUUAAAAGAAACAAUAAUUUAUAAUUAAUUAUUAUAUUAUUUGUAUUUAUUACUAUGAAUAUUAUUCUUAUUUAAUAGGUAUGAUACUUAUAUAUUGAACUUGAGGAUACUAAAAGUACAAUAUAUUACGACAUGUUUUAUUUUCAUUUUUUAACAAUUAUAAAAAAAAAUAUUGUUAUAAAAAUUGGGUUAAUCUAACAUAAGGUAAUCACUAUAGAGGAGGGUUGUAUAGAGUGAUGAUCUUUUUUUGCAAAUUUAAAUUAUAUGAAUGUAACAAACAAUUAUAUGUAAAUAUAUAAUAAAAUAAUAUAAAGACAAUUGCAUAUAAAGUAAAAGAGUAGGGAAAAGAGAAUGCAAACACAAUAUUUUUAUAGUGAUUCAAUGCAACCUGACCUACGUCCACUCUCCUCUAACUUCAAUCUCAAGCUUCAGGUUUCAUUAUUUCAAGACUUCCAAACCAAACCUUCAAGUAAUAAAAUUGGAUUAUGAUUCCAAUCUACUCUCUUGGAUUUUUGGCUCAAAACACCUUUUACAAUCCUUAAGAGAUAUCUCACUCUUAAACAAUCUCUCAAGUGAUACCCCAUACUUGAGUAUCCCUAAGUGAUACUUCACACUUAAAUUAUUCCUUUCAAAGAUUUAUAAAAGAUAAGAAAUAAUAUCACAAAAUCAUAGUACAAAACUUUAGGUUCAAAUAUACAAGAAAAAUUAGGAUUGAAAGGUGCACUAAUAAUAUUCAAGUUUUAGAACAAUGAUGUACUAAAAGACAAUUUCUCAAGGCUCAAAUAUAUUCAAGAAAUGUUUAGGAAGGUUAAACUCUUGAAACAAUGAAGAUUAAGUCUUUCUUAUAGAGGAAAACAAUCAAACUAGCCAUCGAGGGUUUGACCAGUUGACUAGCCAUUAGCAUUUAAUACUAGACAGAUGACCAUUGGACCUCGACCGUCCCUUGAUCGGACCUCGACCGAUUGAGGUCAAGCUCAAUCUGUUGAGGUUCAACCUUGAUCGGUUGAAUAGACAUUAUGGAAAGAGAAAAGAUUUUUGCACCAUUCGACUAGUUGAGCUGAAUAGAUCGACCGAUUCCUCAUCCGAUUCAACCGGUUGAGCUUUUUUUGGCUCAACAACUAUCAUUGUCAACUUAAAACCUUUUUAAACAAGCUUGGAAAACAUUUGACACAAGAUUUUAGUUGAAAACAUGAAAUCAUCCAAUUUUAAAGGAUUUAAAACAAAAUUACUUUUUCAUGAUUUGGUACAUAAAUUAAUAAUGUAAUACAUGAAAGACCUAGUGCACCUACAAACAUUACAAAGAGAUCCUAUAAAGUUUAGGUGUUGAAAAACAUUUCUCUUUGAGGUCUUCUUCUUAUUGAUUUCUCUUUAACUUGAUUUUAUCUUUGUGAUUGCUAUUUUGAAAAUUUUCUUACCUAAUCACACUUGAAAUAUAAUGAUUAAUUCCAAACCUUGUUUUGUUAUCAUUAAAACCGAGAUUAAUCAAACCUUGGUCACAAAUAUUAUAAUAUUUUCUUAAUAAUUAUAUUAUAAGGUUAAACAAUAAUUUGUAAAAUAAUUAUAUUAUAUAUUAUUAUUAUUAUUUUGGAUAAGUUAUUUUAUAAUGUUUUUAAAAUAAUAAUAAAUGAAAAAAUAAUUUAUAAAUAAUUUUUUAUAUUGUUUGUAUAUAUUAAUAUUAUUCUUAUUUGAUAUGUUAAUAAUAAUAAUAAUAAUAAUAAUAUAUUACUAUAUGCCUUAAACAACUCAAAGUUAUAAAAACAAAUUUUUAUUAUAAUAUUUUUUAAAUAAUUAUAUUGUAAAUUAAACAACUCAAAAUUUUUGAAGUCUUAUUUAAGAAAAAGAUAAAAAUAAAAUAAAAUAUUUAUUCUAAUAUUUUCUUAUGAAAUCUUCUUAAUAAAAAAUAUAAUAAAUUUAUUUUUUUAAUUAUUAGAAUGAAAUAAUAAUUUUUAAGAUUAUAUUAUUAUUAUUAUUCUGAAUAAGUUAUUUAUAAUAUCUUUAAAAUAAUAAUAACUAGAAAAGAAAAAGAUAAAAUGAAGAAAAAACAAAAUAGUGAAAAUAAAAAGUAGGGAUAUGUUUGACUUUAAAGUGAAAGUUAUAAGGGUAUAUUUGAGUUUUUAUAUUUUGAGGCCAUUAAAAGAAUUAUCAAAGUUGAUGACCCUAUUGGGUCAUUAUCACUCAUAGCUCACCCUAUACCAUAAUUCUCCCUAUUAUAUUCUAUCUCAUGUUUAGUUGGUAAUGAGGUAUGAUAAAUUAUCUUAUCAUUUAUCAUAUCAUAUGUUCAACCAAAUAUGAAAUAUAAUAAGUAGUGAAAUCUAUUAUCCAGUUUUUAUUUUUAUUUUUUAUUUUUUUUUAUUUCUAUCACUUCUAAAUGACAUAUGCUAAUCUUAUGCUAGGAUAUGAGAUAUGCACAUUCCAUAUAUCAUAAUUUAUUUAUUUUUAUCAAUUUUUUUAAUAUAUUCAUUUUACAAAAUAAUUUUUUUAUUAUAAAUUAAAUUUAUGGUUAAAAAAACUAAAAUAAUAUUAAUAUAUGAUAUAUAAUUUUUUUAUUAAAUAACAUAAUAUAAAAAAAUGUAUUUAUAAAGUUUAAAUAUUUUAAUUAUGAAUAUUGUUAAUAUAUAGAGUUUGUUUUUCGAUAAAAAGUAUUGGAAUGUAAUAUAAUUUUUAUUUUAGAAUAUAACAGUUAAAUAGUUAAUAUUUAAUAUAUGGGAGAGAUAAUUCAAUCAUAUAUAUAUGAUUAUUUUUAUGAUCAUACAUCAUUAUUAUUUUUAUGAUAGAAUUGUUUCCACAUUUUAUUUAUUUAUUUAUUUAUUUAUUUAUUUAUUUAUUAUUAUUAAUUUUCAAUUAAAAUAGUGCAAUGGUGCGCAAUUGCACUAUUGCAUGAGUAGAAUAUCUUUAUUUUCUUGAACUUUUAUUUAAAAUUAAACAUUUUAACAUAUAUUACCAACAUACAAUUAGAAUCUCAUCUUCAUUUUGGUCCAUAUGCUAAAAAGCCUUCAUGAAGAUAGAGAUCUUGGUUUAAUAUUUUUGUCUAAUAGCAAAAGGAGAAGUAAAAAUAAUUGCUAUUAUUGUUUUAUUGAAUUUUAUGUUUAAAAUACUUUAUUAAAAAUAAAAAUAAUUGUAAUAUUUUUUAAAAAAAAUUAACUAAAUAAAAUUUGGUUCUCACAUAUUUGACUUUCUUGGUCUAUCCAGCCUACCAUAUGGGAUUUUUUUAUUUUUUAUUUUCUAGAUUUAAGCUCCAUCCCCACAUUGGAAAUAUUCAAAAAAGAAAGGGAAUAAAAAUAAAAUAAAAUAUCAGUUUUGUGAAGAUUUUCAAAAAUAAUUAUCAAAAUGAAAACAGGUUUUUUAUUUUUAUUUUUUAUUUUAUAGAACAAACAUUUCUAAAACUUUGGAAUAUUUCUAAUCUAUUUUCUACAUUUUCUAUUUUUUAAAAAACAAUUUUUAGUUAUUAUAUUUUAUUUUUAAUCAUUCCCUGUAUUUAUAAAUUUCUUUUUGAAAACAAAACAAUAAAAUGUGGAAGUGUUUGCCAGUAUUUUUUAAAACAAAACAAGAAAAGUCUUUAAGCUUCCAAAUGAGCUGAGUCCAUGAAAUUUUGAAUUCAAAAACUGUUUCAAUAUUUAAAAUGUGUUAAGUAUUUUUAUUUACAAUACGUUUGAAAGUAUUUAUAUUCGAAGUAUUUUUAGUGAAAAUGGUUUUAGAAGAAUCACAUGCGUUUAACAAUAAUUUUAAAAAGUGUUUUUAUCAUUUUUAAUACUUGAAAGAUAAAAAAUUUCAAGUAUUAAAAUAUUAAAAUAUUUUCUAAAAUCAUUAUCAAACAAAUAUUUCUUUUAAAAAAAUAAAAUUAUUAUAAGUGAUUAUUUAGCACUAUAAGUGAUUUUUAAAUUUUUUAAAAACAUUUAUUAAAUUUUGUCAAACCCUUAGUAUUUUUUCAAAAACUCUUUUUAAAUUAAAAAUAUUUUUAAAAUCAUUGUCCAACAUACUCUUAUAUUUUGGGUGAAACCUAACUUCUGUUAAAGGGUAUUUAGUUCACUUAAUAAUAAUUUCUUCUCUAAUUCUAAUCCAAAAGUCUCUCUCGCUAGCAUUAUGUUCCUGUGGUAGGUCUAUGAAAUUAAUGAAUUCAAAUCCAAGUGAUGCCAAUUUUAUUAGAUGGGGUUUGUAGAUCAUUGGGAUUUGUAGAUCAUUAAUCCGUAUCCCAACAAUGGAAGUAAUGGUCAACAACCUUGCCUAGUUGGACCAGGCAACAAAAACUGUUUUUCGCUAAAAAAAAUAAAUGUUUACACAUGUAUAAACUACAACAUUUUCCUAUUAUAAAUAGUCUACAAGUUAUGAGAACAAAUCCAACAUAUUUUACAUGGCAAAAUAUAAGAUUUAGGAUGUUUUCCCCUCUGUAUUUGGCUUUUCCUCACUUUUUCUAUCUUGGAUGGAAGUUCAUUCUUAUUUACGGUAGGGAUUGUCUAUGUUCUAAAUUUAUUGUUAAGUGUCUUGUUGCAAACUAUUUAUUUAAUUUUUUUUAAUGUGAAUAUUUAUUAUGAUGAAUUUUGGAAAUACAACUUAUUCUCUUUUAAAUUUCUUUGUAAUCCAAAUCAUGUAACAUAGCUAAUUUUCAUUAAAAAAAAUCAUAUAAUAAUUAGUUGGUAUGAAAUAGAAGUGCAACUUGGACGGGUUGAAUCGUCUGAUGUUUGGGCAGAUUUGGAUAAACAUUUUCAAUAUUCGGAUUAAGUUUGAAUUAAUUUUUCUCAACCCGGUCUCAAUUUGAGUUGGGUUUAGAUCAAGGUUCAAACUUAUUUUUAAGCAAAUUCUCAAAAUCAUUAUAACAUCAAUAUAAGUUUCAAAUGAUUUCAACAAAUAAAUUUAGGAUGAAUACAACAUUUAUUAGUAUUAUUAAUCUAAUAAAAUACAAAUAUUAAUGCAGUGAUAUGACAUGAUUCUAUCAUCGAGGGGACGGAUAUCUCUAAUUUACAUUUAAGUGAAAUAAAGAGAAAAUAUAUAUUAAAAAGAACCAUAAAAUUAAAUUCAUACUUAACCAAUCUUAAUUUCUUCCACUAAUCUCAUUCAAUUUCUUUACUUCUUAUAUUAUUACUAUUAACAAAGCCAUAUUAGUUAUGCAAUCUAGGGUUUCACUAUCUCCUACAUAUACAACAUUAAUGCAAGCCAGGCUACACAUCUCACCAUCAUCAUUAACACCAUGUUUAAUGACCAAGACCAUUAAGAAAACCACCUAAUCUCCUCUUAAGUCACAAGUAGCUUAAUUCAAACUCAGUGUAGUUUUUACAUGAAGAAGGAUGUUAGUUCACACGCAACCCAUAAUGGCAGGAUUGAAAACAACACAACAAAGGGGUCAUAGCCUUUUGAAUUAAUCUAGGCUACUAAUGAUAAUGACAGACUUGGUGGGCAUGGCUUAUAGCCUUCAAGGUAGUGCAGAUCUGAAAAUUUAUUGGCUUAAACCCUGACUAGUGGAGAUGGUGUUGGGCCCUUGGGCAUUUAUUACGUCUGAAAUUGCCUAAUCCUUGAGCUUUGAAACCUGGCUUAAGUUCUCUCAACUUUGGUACAAAGCAUCAAAUCAGGAGAUGGGUAUGGUGAUGUGUGGGAGUUUCAUGUGGAAGUGAAACAUUAUCUCAAGGGAGUUAGCACUAUGUUUGCCUAGAAUGGAGAAUUACUUAGUGAUGAUGGUAAACACCGUAUAUGUAUAUGUGUAUAUAUAUAUAAAAGCAAACAUUUAUUCAUGGUUGAAAUUUGGGGUGCAAUUCUCUUUAUUUUUCCAAGCCAUAAUUAAAGUUUGUCCAACCUCUAACCAAACCAAUGGUACUUGGCUUUAAAUUAUUGUGUCACAUGCCUCCACAUUAUUGAGAAAAGUGGUACGUACGGUUGGGAAAAUAAAAAAUUAGAAUAUGGGGGGUUGUUUUUAAAUUAGUAAAUAAAUAAAUUUUCUUUUACUCCAUAUUUAAAAAUAAUUUUUAUUCUUUAAAACAAAAAAAGUAGGGUUUGUUUGACAAUUAUUUUUUAAAAUAAUUUUUUGUUCUUAAAAUUAAAAAAAUAAAAAUAAGAAAAGACAUUUCAUAAAAAAAAUGAUGUUUAGGAUAAUAUUUUUAGUUGUUUUUACUUUUCUUUUUUAGGGAUAUUUAAAAAAAUAAUUAUAUAAAUGAUUAAAAAUAAACUAUUAAACACAAAAAAUUAUUUUUAAAAUAUAUUUAAAGAUAUUAAGAACAGGUUAAAAAACAUUUUAAGUUUUCCAACAUAUUUUUAUUUUAUAAAACAUUAAAGAAUUGCUUUCAAAAAAAAAUUUCAAAAUUUUUUUCCAAAACAUUUAUCAAGCAAGACCUUUGAUUUUUUAAAAAUAAUUAAUUUUUUUUUCUUAUUUUUCAUAGGGUAUUCUAAUAAUCAAGGAGACAAGGAUAAUGUAUAAAAAUCAUUUAGAGAAUAAAUUUUACUUCCUUUUUUUUAAAAAAAAAAUCAUCUUUUUAAAAAUAUAUGGAAUAAUGAGAUUUUCUAAAAUUGAGUUCCCAAAAAAAAUAAUUUUUUUUUAAAUAAUAGAAAACUGGGGUCAAGAUGAUUCUCAAAAUCUGAUUUUUGAAAACUACAAAAUUAAAGAAAAAUAAACAUGGUUGUACAAAUUAACCUUGGGCUUAUUAAUUUCUUAUGAGCAAAAUGUCUUAGUAACUAUUGCAAAAUUAAAAAUAAUUUCAACAAUUAAGGAGAAACACACAUUAAUUAAGGGUCUAUUUUGAUUAACUUUUGGAAAAAAAAACUCUUCAAUUAUCAAUAUUAUUCCUUGGAAAUUAUAAUUUAUUAAUUUCUUCAAAGAAAAAUGCAAAUAAUUAAGCCAAAAAAAAAAAACCAUCAAAUAAAGCUUAAAAGUCCAUGCAUGGACUUCUCAUCAUGGGAAACUUUUUGGUACUUUAUUUAAUUAAUAUACACUAUGGUCUAAAAUAGGUAGAUCUAUAAUUUGUAAUGAAGUGCAUUUUAAAAUUAAUUAAUAAAUUCAAAAGCUCUUGCAUGAAUUGGCUAAUAGAUCAAACUGUCACGUAUUGGAAAUGAAGUGAAUGGAGAACCCUUAGAGAUAAGCUGUUGAUAAAGUUGUAGAGUUAGUAAGGACCACAAACCCAAUGCUGGCCAACACUGGACCAUCACCUUCCAUUUUUAAGGACCACAGUAGCAAUUACUUUGUCAAUAUGCCUACUAUGAGUAUAAGAAACAAUUGAUAAGAUGAAUCAAGGAGACAACCAAGACAGUGAAGGUUCUGAGUGAGUACUCCAUGGGAAAAUCAAUUGGAAAAUUUUGAAAAUAUAUCUCAAUUUGAUUUUUCUCAUUAAUUAAUAGAUAUAUACCCAUUAAUAAAAUUCAUAUUUAUUUUCGACCUUGUAAUCUCGGGUUUUUGUAUCAAAGUCAAGAUAGGUUAAUACCUCGACUUAACAUGUUCUUUUUUUUUUCUUUUUCCUUUUUUUAUCCAUAAUAUCUUGUUCAAUUGUUAAUUUAAUCCAAAAUAAGUUACUAAUUUGAUACUAAUGAUUUAGCAAAUAUGUUUUAUCAAUUUAGAUUAAAUCUCAAUAACACUCCAUGAUUUUUAUCAAAGACAAUUUAGAGGAGUGGUGGUAUGGUUGAAUAUAGAAAAAAUAAUUUUAAAUAUAAAAUUUGAAUAUAAAUAAGCUGAGAAUUAACAUACAUUAGGAGAAAGAAAAUAAAUAAAAUGAUUGCUUUAAAAACAUAAAAUAAAUAAGAAAAUAAUUAAAUAAAAAUUGAGGUUUCAAAAGUAAAAUCAUUUUAAAGAUUGUGGCAUGCAUAAGACAAAAUUAUUUCAUAAAUUAUGAUUUUUUAUUUUUAAAAUAUAUGAUUCCACCUUAUUUUGAGACCUAUCUUGUAUGGGAUCAAUUUUCUUUUUCCAUUAAUUCUUAGUGAUUGGUUCAGAAACAAUUUUUGAAUAAACUAUUUAACUCUAUGAAUGAAUCCAACAAGAAAUUUUUAUUGGUUCUACCUCUAACUUUUUAUGAAUAGAAUGAAGCUUUUUAUCAAAGGAUUAGAAAAAAAUGGGUCUUCGGAUGGAAAUGAUUUGGAAUAUAUAUAAUUUGUUAAAAAAAAAAAUAUAUAUCUCACUAAUGUUUUGACUGGAAGCCUCACUCAAAAUCAGUCUCUCUAACAGAAUACACUAUGGGACAUGAAGCUUGUAAAAGAAAUUAAUAAAUGAACUCCUUCAACUAACUGCUUGAUUAAGGAGCUGGAAAUAUUAAUUAAAAGCACAAAUUUCAAUAGAACCUAGAGAGUAAGAUGCUAAAGAAAAAAAAAAGGGGGGGAAUUAAAAAAAGCAAAGAAGUAGAAGGACUUGUUCAACUUUGCAACUUUCACUUUAUUAAAUCAUAUUCCUUGUGUGCUUCUUCAGCUUUCACUGUGUCAAUAUUUCUCAUCACAUAUGUAUUGACCACUUUGUUUCAUCCAUUUACAUUCUAUAGGUUCCAUCACAGUUGAUGAUCUGGUCAAGCACCCCCCCUUCUCUCUCUCUCUCUCUAAAGUGGAAUACAAAAAGUAAAAAAGUGAAGUAUGAAAUGGUAACAUCAAUCCAUGAAAUAUCCCAAUGCCAAGGGAUGAGUGAAAGUGCCUCUUUUUAUAGAUUAAUUGAGAAAAUAUAAUUAAGGCUGACAUCGGAGGGUAGAAAGAGGUACACAUCCUUAGUGUAUGUAUGAUAAUGAGAAGAAGGAAGAAAAAUGUAGAAAUUAACUACUGAAAUCUGAGACUUGGGUCCAACUCUGGUGGAGUACAGUAUGUGGUGGACUGUAUACAAAACGUGUAUGAGGACAAAUUUGCUGGAAAAUGCUUUAAUGGCAACAUUUUUGUCUUGCAUUUGCCUUUUUAGAGGCUUUUCAUUCAUGUCCAGCUGAUCAGGUUCUGUCUAUUAUGGAUCAUUUCUCGUCAUUUUUUCUAUGUUAGAAUUUAGCUCUUGAUGCUUAUGAAGA
rnacentral:lncRNA from 1 species